rnacentral:lncRNA from 1 species
UAAAUUAGUUGGCUCAGUAGACCCUGGUAAACAGUGGCUUUUGUGUUUCAGGCUGCAGUGUCUGGGUCAGUGUAAGCUUCAGAUAGACUUACGGAAGAGCUCAGGGACAUAUAUAGAUCACAGAGUUAUAAGACAGUGAUCUUCAGAUCUUAAAAGAAAAACAAGGGAUAGGAGACAUUUUGCUUAUCUUUUAAGUGCUCCUGACAGCAUCUCAGAGGACGAUGCCCUCUGGCUUACUCUCUGGGAAAUGCUGCUCUGUUGGAAAUCUGGAGUUCUGAGUGAUUCCCAUGUGUUUUCUGCUGCACAGCAGGACAUGCUGAAGUGA